UACCCUAAUCAGGGAGAAGUAAAGGGCGUUAGGGGUAGCAUGGACCUGAUCUGUUCCUUGUGAUGUUAUGCCUGUGCAGGAUAAACCGGCAAACUGAGGAAGUACAAUCCACUGAUCCUGUCCACGCUGGCCUCUUUCAAACAGUUCCUCCUGGGUCUGGGACCGACACCUUUCAAACUAAGUCAUGCAGCUGCUGCUCCUGCUAAGGAAUCAAUGCGAGGCUGCUGGAUUUAAAGCUCAUCCAUCCCCUUGAACGUGGCGAUUCUGGCACCAGCUCUGCUAACCUCACCGCUGAUCUGGGCACAUUUUGUUUUGGACAUAGGAACUGUUGUCCCUGUCUCCUCUUUAAAGCGAAGGACUGCAGGGGAAGCCUGAGGUGUCUAAUCAGAAGUGGGGAAAAGAGUCAAGGUGUCUGCGCCUUCUCCAUCUCCCUUUCACAGCAGCCCACAGAACCGGCUCUGUGCUGGGGUGUGGACACUCCCCACCCUUAGAACUCCAGGAGGCUCCUGCUGGAGUGUUGCCGCUUCACAUCACCCCCAAGAUGGAGCUGCGAGCAGAUAACCAGGACCGAACCCUGGCUAUUUAAACCCAGUAUUUUUUUUUAAGUGCACAGGGCUCAGAUUGCUAGUGAUGUCUCCUCUGUGUCUCUUUCCGUCAGUAGCCAGUUAUCCAAACGCGGCCGCAUUUCGAUGCUCUCUUAUGAGCGUGAGGCACAUGCACAAACACAGAGGGAAAAACAACGCGGGCCACGUCUGAUCUCCGUUGAAAGACAUUUACAUUGAACGGAGAUACAUCACUAAUCUUCAGAGCAUCCUGACAGGCUGAGGCCGUAACAUACACUGAUGUCCGCCCCUCCCAGCAUCAGCUCUUCUGUGACUGUGGACUUCAAUGGGAGAUGGAUCAGACCCUAAUUCAUCUCAGUUGCUGCGUUCGAGCAUCAUGUGGCAAUGCCAACGUUCCAGUACUGCUUUGAAGGCAAGGUACCUGUACACAGGACAGUGCUGGAAAGUCACUUGGCCCAAUACAACAGGUACGCUUGGUAAACAGCAAAGUGAUCCAAACCUACCCAACAGCUUCCAUGUCACAUAUUAUUAGAGUAAAGACAAACAGGGUUAAUAUGUUACCUAAAGAAACUGGGCUGAUGGGGAUGAAUCCAGUUGUCUUCAACGGUUCAACACCAGAGCUGAAUUUGGCACACAGGGCUUAACAAUCCAUUUAGACCCUGAUUCAGCAGAGUACUUAAGCAUUUAAGUAUUAUGGACUCACUGACCUGUUUGUGUUGUUUUAUAGCAUCUGUCUGCUACACCUCUACCCUGAUAUAACACUGUCCUCUGGAGGCAAAAAAAUCUUACUGCGUUAUAGGUGAAACCGCGUUAUAUCGAACUUGCUUUGAUCCGCCGGAGUGCGCAGCCCCGCCCCCUCCGAAGCACUGCUUUACCGCGUUCUAUCGGGUCGCGUUAUAUCAGGGUAGAGGUGUACUAGUAUUGUCUCGAAUGCAAAAUAAAGUCAAGUCAAAAGAGCACAAGAGAAAAACACUGAGAAUGGACCCAAGCACUCAGGUGCUUGAAGCUAAGCAUGUGCUUAAAUGCUCUGCUAAAUCAGGGCUUUAGACACUAUAUGUAAUAGCCACUUCCCUUAUUAAAAUUCACCAGUAAGAGAACUCCUUGAGGGACCCACUAUAAUGUUAAAGGGAGCUGCCUGGCCUCAUCAGAGCACAGAUCCCCUUCUACACAGGUUAUUCUCAAAUGCAUACAUCUUUUGCUUCAUUUUAUCUCUGUAUGAUCCAUGAAAGACAAACCUGCCUCUUAACAAAAAUUAUCCCUUUCAAAUGCAAGGUUUGGUUAUAAUCCUCUCUAUCCCAUGAGAUGUGGUGUAGCAUCUUGGGAAGCAUAUAAUC